rnacentral:rRNA from 1 species
UACGAAGGGGGCUAGCGUUGCUCGGAAUCACUGGGCGUAAAGCGCACGUAGGCGGGUUGUUAAGUCGGGGGUGAAAUCCUGGAGCUCAACUCCAGAACUGCCUUCGAUACUGGCGACCUUGAGUCCGGGAGAGGUGAGUGGAACUCCGAGUGUAGAGGUGAAAUUCGUAGAUAUUCGGAAGAACACCGGUGGCGAAGGCGGCAUCCUGGACCGACACUGACGCUGAGGAGCGAAAGCCAGGGGAGCAAACGGG